rnacentral:rRNA from 1 species
GGAGUCUAGCAUGUGCGCGAGUCAUUGGGACAUAACUAAACCUAAAGGCGCAAUGAAAGUGAAGGCUCGUCUUGCACGAGCCGAGGGAGGAUGGGCGAUCGUUUCGGCUGUCGCCCCGCACUCCCGGGGCGUCUCGUUCUCAUUGCGAGAAGAGGCGCACCCAGAGCGUACACGCUGGGACCCGAAAGAUGGUGAACUAUGCCUGGUCAGGACGAAGUCAGGGGAAACCCUGAUGGAGGUCCGUAGCGAUUCUGACGUGCAAAUCGAUCGUCGGAACUGGGUAUAGGGGCGAAAGACUAAUCGAACCAUCUAGUAGCUGGUUCCCUCCGAAGUUUCCCUCAGGAUAGCUGGCGCUCAUUGCGUACGAGUUUCAUCCGGUAAAGCGAAUGAUUAGAGGCAUUGGGGUCGAAACGGCCUCAACCUAUUCUCAAACUUUAAAUGGGUGAGAUCUCCGGCUUGCUCGAACUUAAUGAAGCCGCGAGACUCGAAUCAGAGUGCCAAGUGGGCCAUUUUUGGUAAGCAGAACUGGCGCUGUGGGAUGAACCAAACGCCGAGUUAAAGCGCCUAAAUCGACGCUUAUGGGAUACCAUGAAAGGCGUUGGUAACUUAAGACAUCAGGACGGUGGCCAUGGAAGUC